CCGGCGCACGGGUGAGUAACGCGUAUCCAACCUGCCCACCACUUGGGGAUAACCUUGCGAAAGUAAGACUAAUACCCAAUGAUAUCUCUAGAAGACAUCUGAAAGAGAUUAAAGAUUUAUCGGUGAUGGAUGGGGAUGCGUCUGAUUAGCUUGUUGGCGGGGUAACGGCCCACCAAGGCAACGAUCAGUAGGGGUUCUGAGAGGAAGGUCCCCCACAUUGGAACUGAGACGCGGUCCAA
rnacentral:rRNA from 1 species